rnacentral:rRNA from 1 species
UACGAAGGGGGCUAGCGUUGUUCGGAUUUACUGGGCGUAAAGCGCACGUAGGCGGAUUGUUAAGUCAGGGGUGAAAUCCUGGAGCUCAACUCCAGAACUGCCUUUGAUACUGGCAAUCUAGAGUCCGGAAGAGGUGAGUGGAACUCCUAGUGUAGAGGUGGAAUUCGUAGAUAUUAGGAAGAACACCAGUGGCGAAGGCGGCUCACUGGUCCGGUACUGACGCUGAGGUGCGAAAGCGUGGGGAGCAACAGG